GACGAACGCUGGCGGCGUGCCUAAUACAUGCAAGUCGAACGCAGGGGGGACGGGUGAGUAACACGUGGGUAACCUCCCAUCAGAGGGGAAAACACUUGGAAACAGGUGCUAAACCCAUACUGUUGGAUGGACCCGCGGUGCAUUAGCUAGCUGGUGGGGUAACGGCGCACCAAGGCCACGAUGCAUAGCCGACCUGAGAGGGUGAUCGGCCACACUGGGACUGAGACACGGUCCAGACUCCUACGGGAGGCAGCAGUAGGGAAUCUUCGGCAAUGGACGAAAGUCUGACCGAGCAACGCCGCGUGAGUGAAGAAGGUUUUCGGAUCGUAAAACUCUGUUGUUAGAGAAGCGGUAUCUAACCAGGAAGCCACGGCUAACUACGUGCCAGCAGCCGCGGUAAUAC
rnacentral:rRNA from 1 species